GAUGAACGCUGGCGGCGUGCCUAAUACAUGCAAGUCGAGCGAACGGACGAGAAGCUUGCUUCUCUGAUGUUAGCGGCGGACGGGUGAGUAACACGUGGAUAACCUACCUAUAAGACUGGGAUAACUUCGGGAAACCGGAGCUAAUACCGGAUAAUAUUUUGAACCGCAUGGUUCAAAAGUGAAAGACGGUCUUGCUGUCACUUAUAGAUGGAUCCGCGCUGCAUUAGCUAGUUGGUAAGGUAACGGCUUACCAAGGCAACGAUGCAUAGCCGACCUGAGAGGGUGAUCGGCCACACUGGAACUGAGACACCGUCCAGACUCCUACGGGAGGCAGCAGUAGGGAAUCUUCCGCAAAGGGCGAAAGCCUGACGGAGCAACGCCGCGUGAGUGAUGAAGGUCUUCGGAUCGUAAAACUCUGUUAUUAGGGAAGAACAUAUGUGUAAGUAACUGUGCACAUCUUGACGGUACCUAAUCAGAAAGCCACGGCUAACUACGUG
rnacentral:rRNA from 1 species